rnacentral:miRNA from 1 species
UGUGUGUGUGUGUGUGUGUGCGUGUGUGUGUGUGUGUGUAUACACACACACACGCACACACACACACACACACA